rnacentral:rRNA from 1 species
UACAGAGGUCUCAAGCGUUGUUCGGAUUCAUUGGGCGUAAAGGGUGCGUAGGCGGCGCGGUAAGUCGGGUGUGAAAUCUCGGGGCUUAACUCCGAAACUGCAUUCGAUACUGCCGUGCUUGAGGACUGGAGAGGAGACUGGAAUUUACGGUGUAGCGGUGAAAUGCGUAGAUAUCUGGAGGAACACCGGUGGCGAAGGCGGCAUCCUGGACCGGUAUUGACGCUGAGGCGCGAAAGCCAGGGGAGCAAACGGG